UACGGGGGGGGCAAGCGUUGUUCGGAAUUACUGGGCGUAAAGGGUUUGUAGGUGGCUUGUUAAGUCAGACGUGAAAUCCCUCAGCUUAACUGGGGAACUGCGUCUGAUACUGGCGAGCUUGAGUGCAGGAGAGGAACGCGGAAUUCCAGGUGUAGCGGUGAAAUGCGUAGAUAUCUGGAGGAACACCGGUGGCGAAGGCGGCGUUCUGGACUGCAACUGACACUGAGGAACGAAAGCCAGGGGAGCAAACGGG
rnacentral:rRNA from 1 species